ACGUAGGGGGCAAGCGUUAUCCGGAUUUACUGGGUGUAAAGGGAGCGUAGACGGAGCAGCAAGUCUGAUGUGAAAGGCGGGGGCUCAACCCCCGGACUGCAUUGGAAACUGUUGAUCUUGAGUACCGGAGAGGUAAGCGGAAUUCCUAGUGUAGCGGUGAAAUGCGUAGAUAUUAGGAGGAACACCAGUGGCGAAGGCGGCUUACUGGACGGUAACUGACGUUGAGGCUCGAAAGCGUGGGGAGCAAACAG
rnacentral:rRNA from 1 species